UGGUCGCCGUCGUCGUUCUCUAUCCGUCCGUUACCAUGGUCUAUGAAAGAAAAGAGAGAGGUGGAGAUGGAGAGAAUGUUCUCAUCAUCAUCUUUCCCUCUCUCGGUGGCCCAAUAACUACCCCACCCCAACACAGACACCCCAACACACACCACUUCUCUUUUCUCGUCCUCCACUUUUGCAAAACAAGUGACUAGUGGAGGGAGAGAUGAGUGGAGUUAGGGGAAGAAGGGGUGAAUAUGGGCAAAAAACCGCGAGAGAGAUAUGGUGAACGAGAGAGAGAGAGA
ensembl:ncRNA T23F11.8 ncRNA